CCAGGACCCUUACUCGACGCUAGUUCGUUGUACUCCACGGAUCACGAUCACGCCUGUCACGUUCUGGACUCCGACUCACCUUCGCUCUGGUCCCUCCUCGUCGCCCCUCUGGACAUCCUUCUGGAAACACGGUGUUCGCCGCCAAGACCCUCCAACCAUCCACAAAACAUCCUCUCUUGGAACCCUGUCAUUCCUCCAUUAAAUCCUUUACUACUCGUC